rnacentral:lncRNA from 1 species
UCAAGAAAAGGCUCCCUGUCGUGGCAAAUAAAUCUGGUUGUGUGCUCUGGAAAGGAUGGGUCCAGCUGGAGGUCGACUACCCGUGCUGCUCUGUCAGCAAAGGUUGACGGAGAUGUACCGCUGGCUAUGCUGAAAAAACGAAUGCAUUCAACUUGAAGAAGAGAACUGAAGGCUGACCUCUGUUUUAGAAAAAGAGAAGAGCUGCAUAAUCGGGGCAAGUUGUUG